UAUAAUAUCUCUGAUUUUUUUGGGCAACAAUUAUAUCUGUUGCUUCUCAGACUAGUAUGAUCAAAAUUUUAUGAUUGUUGAAGAAAAUCAUGUUAAAAUUUCACAUCACAUUCAGAUUUUGUAGCAAAAUACAACAGUUGAUCUACGUUAACUUUUUAUGUGUGCCAUAUAUGGGCAUGCAUUGUUGCAAUGUUUACUAUCACUG